rnacentral:rRNA from 1 species
GACGUAGGAGGCGAGCGUUGUCCGGAUUCAUUGGGCGUAAAGAGCUCGUAGGCGGUCUGUCGCGUCUGCUGUGAAAACUCAGGGCUUAACCCUGAGCUUGCAGUGGGUACGGGCAGACUAGAGUGCGGUAGGGGAGACUGGAAUUCCUGGUGUAGCGGUGAAAUGCGCAGAUAUCAGGAGGAACACCGGUGGCGAAGGCGGGUCUCUGGGGCGUAACUGACGCUGAGGAGCGAAAGCAUGGGGAGCGAACAGG